AUUUAAAUGAGGGCUUCCUCCCUCACAGCCCAUCUGCUGUGAAAUCAUCACACGCAUCCUUUUGUGACAGCUCAGGCAUCGCCAUGGCAACGCGCUGUGAUGCGAUCAGCCCUGAGUUAUGACCUCACUGCAGGACCGGGCAGCCCAGGCUGCUCUGGAAGUGGAACAAAAGCAGCUCCUGCAUCAACCCAAGUGGGCUCUGUGCUUCGAGAGGGUGGGAUUUGUCCUGGAGCAGAGAGCUGUUCACCUGUGCUAUUGAUGUUUGAUAAAGGCCUCUCUGCUCACUGGAGGAAUCUGGAAGUCAUCGAAGGAGUGCCUGCUUUCCAGAAGCCUUUCAUCACCUCUUUUCACAGCUGCUUGGGAUGAAGAGUGAAUUCUAUGCUGACCUGUGGAAAACACAGUUGGCUGCUUCCCUACAUGAGCUACAGGAACCUCUUGGACAGCAUCUCCAUAGCCCCUGACCUCGAUCUCAUCUAAACCCAGCAUGGCUUGACAAAGGAUCUUACAACCAAGCUGAGAGUUACUGGUGGACACAGCAUAGCCACAUCCACACCUGAUUAAAGCACCAUAACUGUAAUGCA